CGCCUUGCCAGCCCGCUCAGAAACUCAAAGGAAGUUGACGGGGGCCCGCACAAGCGGUGGAGCACGUGGUUUAAUUCGAUGCAAACCGAAGAACCUUACCUGGUCUUGACAUCCCGGAGACCCUUAGGAAACUAGGGGGUGCUUCCAUCUGGAAGAAUCUGGAGACAGGUGCUGCAUGGCUGUCGUCAGCUCGUGUCGUGAGAUGUUGGGUUAAGUCCCGCAACGAGCGCAACCCUUGCCUUUAGUUGCCAGCAGUUCGGCUGGGCACUCUAAAGGGACUGCCGGUGUUAAACCGGAGGAAGGUGGGGAUGACGUCAAGUCCUCAUGGCCUUUAUGACCAGGGCUACACACGUACUACAAUGGCCGAUACAAAGGGCAGCGACACUGCGAGGUGAAGCCAAUCCCGUAAAAUCGGUCUCAGUCCGGAUUGGAGUCUGCAACUCGACUCCAUGAAGUUGGAAUCGCUAGUAAUCGUGGAUCAGCAUGCCACGGUGAAUACGUUCCCGGGCCUU
rnacentral:rRNA from 1 species